CCUGGUGGCUCAGUGGUAUAGAAUCUGCCUGCAAUGCAGGAGACUCAGGUUCGAUCCCUGGGUCAGGA
rnacentral:tRNA from 1 species